rnacentral:snRNA from 1 species
AACUCUGCACAGGGGCGGUGUCAUAGCCAAUAAGGUUUAUCCAAGGCACGAUUAUUGCUAAUUGAAAAGGAGACUUGUUCUCCUAAUUUUACCUAAAAAGGUUUACUUUGUUUUUGUGUUAUAAUCAUGA